rnacentral:rRNA from 1 species
GACGAACGCUGGCGGCGUGCUUAACACAUGCAAGUGGAAAGAUGAACCCGGAGCUUGCUCCGGUGGAUUAGUGGCGAACGGGUGAGUAACACGUGAGUAACCUGCCCUUGACUCUGGGAUAACUGCGGGAAACUGUAGCUAAUACCGGCUACGACCCUCGGCGGCAUCGCGAGGGGGUGGAAAGAAUUUCGGUCAAGGAUGGAGUCGCGGCCUAUCAGCUAGUUGGUGAGGUAAUGGCUCACCAAGGCGACGACGGGUAGCCGGCCUGAGAGGGUGACCGGCCCCACUGGGACUGAGACACGGCCCAGCCUCCUACGGGAUGCAGCAGUGGGGAAUAUUGCACAAUGGGCGCAAUCCUGAUGCAGCAACGCCGCGUGAGGGAUGACGGCCUUCUGGUUGUAAACCUCUUUUAGUAGGGAAGAAGCGAAAGUGACGGUACCUGCAGAAAAAGCACCGGCUAACUACGUGCCAGCCGCCGCAGUAA